rnacentral:rRNA from 1 species
UACGUAGGGUCCAAGCGUUAAUCGGAAUUACUGGGCGUAAAGCGCACGCAGGUGGCUGAGUCAGUCGAUUGUGAGAGCCCUGGGCUUAACCUGGGAAUUGCAGUCGAUACUACUCAGCUAGAGUAUGGGAGAGGGUAGUGGAAUUCCCGGUGUAGCGGUGAAAUGCGUAGAUAUCGGGAGGAACAUCAGUGGCGAAGGCGGCUCACUGGCUCAUACUGGACGCUGGGGUGCGAAAGCGUGGGGAGCAAACAGG